rnacentral:rRNA from 1 species
CUGGUGCAGCAGCUGGGAAGGGUGGGGUUGUUCGCCCAUUAAAGGGGAUCGUGAGAUGGGUUUAGACCGUCGUGAGACAGGUUUGUUGCUUUGUGGUUGAGGCGUAUAAGAUGCCUGAUCGGAAGGGCCCUUUAGUACGAGAGGAACGAGGGCUCGGGGCCACUAGUUUACCAGUUGUCCGGCAGGGCAAUGCUGGGUAGCCACGCCCUACGUGGAUAAGAGCUGAAAGCAUCUAAGCUCGAAGUCAUCCGAAAGACGAGGCAUCUCAGGGGACUCGUAGAAGACGAGUUUGAUAGACAGCGGGUGUAAGCACCGAGGUUCGCCGAGGUGUUCAGCCCAGCUGCACUAACCCCCCGAGCAUCUACA